AUGCAAAUAGCGCACUCCCGAGAGCAAAUCAGGGCAGCCCGAGCGCUCGGCCGAGGGACUGGCUGGCUCGGAGGGAGGAGGGGCCCGAGCGCCCCGGAAUCCCGGCCCUCCCCAUUCAAGUGCACGCUGGUCUACCCCCCGCGCGAGCUACGCGCGCGCACCAACACCCUGCCUGCUGACGCUCGGCUCCCUACCGGAGGAGUGAGCACAAGCGUGUGUGUGUGUGUGUGUGCGCGCCCUGCGCCUUUUGAUCGCCGGAUCCCUGCUCCUCUCCCAGGCAUAUUAAGCCAAACUCCGGCAAUUGGAAAGGAAACAAACAAACAAACAAACAAAAAACUGCAGGCGGCAGCGAAGGCUGAAGUCGCCCCAGAUAGAAAUAAAAAUCAACCCCUUGAGUCAGCAGGAGCGCCGGAGCGGCUUGCACGCGGUAGUGCCCGAGCGCGCGCGCGCUCCCCCUGGCCUGGUGGUCAGCAUCGCGGGGCCACUCUCCGGGGGCGUGCCUCUUUGGGGGCGAAGGGGAUACGAGCCCAACCGAGGGGCGAAUGGCGGCAGCGCGUCCUGGUUCUCGAAGGUGAAGGCGGCGAGAUGGACCCCAGGAGGGUCAAAAGGAGUCCCCAGAACACUAACAGCAAUCUUGUUACUACUUCAUGAAUACAGAUGAUGUUCAUUUCCUGAGAUUGCCAAUCUUUACUCCAAAACCCUAGAUCCUGACAAAAUCAAUUACACUUUCAAAAUGUAUUACUCAAUCAGGAGACUAUACACCAGGAGAAUGCAUCUGACACUCACUGAUGUUUGAUCCUCUCUAAGUUAAAAUCCUGGAAACAAUAUUCCAAAAGAGAUCUUUGCUAUGAGUAAUAUCAUCAUUAACAGUGAGGUACAUGGAGCUUAUUUUGAAGCUAUAAAAGAGGAUGACAAAAAGCAUAUAUAUAUGGAAACUUGGAGCCAGAGAAAAUCAGAUGGUUUUUAACAAGCUAUAGCAGAAGAAAGACCACAUUUUUGUCCCCUUAAACCAAGUUUUAAUGAAGAAAAGAUUCUGUUAUAUAUGAUUUCCAGUGGUUUAAUAUGGUGGAUUGAGAGACUCAUUGUCAUGCCCUUGAGAAAUGAAAAUAACUGGGUCUUAAUUUUUUGCUCUAACAUUAAUUGCCAGACAUCAAGCCACUCAAGGAUGGGCUAUCUCAUAUAGACUAUCUGUUUUCUAAAAUUUAAAUCUGCAUAAGAGACUCUGAGGCCAACAAGCACACAACGUUGGAAUAAUAAUAUCUACUGUUUCUCUCUCCUGCUGUGCCUCUCUCCUGCCUGGUGUGGCCAACCAUUCACUCGUUAAUUUCAAGCCGAUGAACGCAGAAGACAAAAUGUUUGCUGGGGAUUCUCUAGCAAUCGGGAAGAGAAUCCACAGGGGAGGGUGGUGUGAGAGGAGACGUCUUCAGUGACAUCCCUUUCAGCCCAAUUCAAGGAGAGAGUGAGCCACUUCAACCAAGGGAGUGCGUCUGUGUGGGCGUAAAGAUCACAGCGGGAGGCAUCGUGCUUGAUCGUUGCCAUUUCCUGAAAUCGUGUACCUUGUCGGGGUAGAGAAGAGGAACACAGAAAGGUGGGUGCAUCCAAAAGGAGAAAGAUGUAGGGACAGGGCGCUACUGGGCGGCACGGCAUACUCUUGGAGGGCCUGUAACGUCACUCACAGGCCUGAGUCACUGCUAAACACAUUAAACAGCCAGAGAGUCACCGUGAAGCUUUAGGAAUAACAACAGCCAGCACAUUCUUUAAACCUCCUCUCUCUGGACACCUCUUAUUUAGUUCGUGCAUGGGCUAGGGGAGGUAGGGGUGGGUGUACGACGGUUGUUGGCUUUGGGAGUUACUCAGCCGGAUGGUGGUUACUAAUUAUGACACUAAGGGAGCAAUAAUAAAUUUUGAAAGACUACAAGGAACUCUCGGCCU
rnacentral:lncRNA from 1 species